CAAUACCAAACACUAUUCACUCCAGGCAGUUUAAAAUUUGAUAUCUUUCGCCGGAGCUUCCUGAACAUCCGUUUGGGCUCAAAUUUGACAGGUAUAUCCGGUUUUACCUAACGAGUCCAAAAAAAUUUUAAUAUCUCAGUUUCGACCCCGUUUGGUCACCGAAAAUUAUACCGAACUGUAAUCUUUAUCAGAUAGCUGUCGGAUUUUAUUUCCAUCUUCCGGGUGUCAGAAUGACAUUAAACUUUAAAUCUAGCCUCAUAAAAAUAAUUCUGACUUAUCCUCCAGUUUUCAUAAUUUUCUGACACUGUGCAUUUUCUGCUAAUUUAUCUGUCCUGUUUCCAACAGAAAAUUCUAGAUCUUCUGUUUUCAUUCCGAUUUCAGCACAAGUCACUUCUGACUUAUGUUUUACUCCUCUAAAUCCAAUAAAAAUAGUAUCUCACUCUAUUUUUAUUUAUUUUUAUUUUAUACCAAAAUCUGGUAUGUUACAGUAAUCAUCUAACUGAACCAUUUAAUUAUUAAAACUACUAAGUGCGGAAAUAAAACAU
rnacentral:lncRNA from 1 species